rnacentral:rRNA from 1 species
CCCCAGACUCCUACGGGAGGCAGCAGUGGGGAAUAUUGCACAAUGGGGGAAACCCUGAUGCAGCGACGCCGCGUGAGCGAUGAAGUAUUUCGGUAUGUAAAGCUCUAUCAGCAGGGAAGAAAAUGACAGUACCUGACUAAGAAGCCCCGGCUAACUACGUGCCAGCAGCCGCGGUAAUACGUAGGGGGCAAGCGUUAUCCGGAUUUACUGGGUGUAAAGGGAGCGUAGACGGCUGUGCAAGCCAGAUGUGAAAGCCCGGGGCUCAACCCCGGGACUGCAUUUGGAACUGUGUGGCUGGAGUGUCGGAGAGGCAGGCGGAAUUCCUAGUGUAGCGGUGAAAUGCGUAGAUAUUAGGAGGAACACCAGUGGCGAAGGCGGCCUGCUGGACGAUGACUGACGUUGAGGCUCGAAAGCGUGGGGAGCAAACAGGAUUAGAUACCCUGGUAAG